CCUGGGUAGGCUGUUGCUCCACCUCUCAACCAUCAAGUACAGACAAGGCUUCUACUCUGCCGAUUUCACAGGACUUCAAGACACUAUUGAGAUGGUAGUGGAUGUCCUCUGCAAGCCUUGGCUUCAGAGACUCCACGGACAAUUGAGCACCGCAACUGCAGCAACUGGCCACCAGAGGGGAGUCACGAGCUGAGGACCUAAUCCCUUCCCGGGGGCCCCGAAGACCGUUGGGUUGGGGGGGGGUGGUGUUAAGGAUUCUGCUGAGCCCUUUGCCCCCUAUGCCUAACCCUGGGAUGCAUCCCAGCCCGUGCCAGAAUCUCAUGGAAUUGACCUUCUUACAAAAGAAAUGAACUUUAGGCCUAAAAUGCAUCCAAGGCCCCAGUUCU